rnacentral:rRNA from 1 species
GACGAACCGUGCGAACGUUAUUCGGAAUCACUGGGCUUAAAGCGCGUGUAGGCGGGCCGGCCCGUCGGCCGCUGAAAUCCCCCGGCUCAACCGGGGAAGCGGCGCCGAUACGACCGGCCUGGAGGGGCGUAGGGGGAUCGGGAACUUCCGGUGGAGCGGUGAAAUGCGUUGAGAUCGGAAGGAACGCCCGUGGCGAAGGCGCGGUCCUGGACGCCAUCUGACGCUGAGACGCGAAAGCCAGGGGAGCGAACGGG